rnacentral:lncRNA from 1 species
AUUGAUGAAAAAAAUUAUACAUACGAUUAUAGGAGAAACUUGUUUUAUAACAAAGCAUACAGGGACUACGAUUUCUUUAAAUAAAAUAGUAAGUAAUAUAACAUAUGAAAAAAAUUAUUUUCGUAAUAAUGUAAUAAAUGAUUUGUCAAGAAGUCAAUUUAUAUUAUUAUUUAUUUUGUGUCAUUUUAUUAAUAUAAUAAAAGAAAAUAAAAUAUGUAUAACGAAUAUAUUAAUAAACUAUCAUAGGAAAAAUCGAAACAAAACAGAUGUGUUCAAUCCUAUAUAUAAUCCAUUAUUGCAUGUGCUACCAAAAGUUGUACAAAAACAUGUUACAAAUGUAGAAAAUAUUAUAAUAAAUUAUUUAGAAAAAUAUUGUAUAAUCAUAAUGAAGCAAUUAAAUUUGUUGGAUAAAAAACAAGCAUAUCUUUUGCCAUAUACUCAGUUGUACAUAUUUGACGAGCAUCCUCUAGUCGACCUUGAGGAUCUUUUCCAGCACUCCUGCUCGGAAUACAUGAGAUAUUAUAAGUCGAAGGUUUAUUCGAACAAAAUAAGAUCCCCAUUUUUAACAUGUUUAUAUCAGAAUGAUACUUUUAGUUCUUUGAGUGAAAUCCUUUAUACAUCUUUACUUAGUUUAGAUUUACGUAAGGAUAUGAUUCCAGAUAUAUCAAAUGAUGAUAUAUCUUUUUAUAAGUUUGAAGAUGGAUUAAUAAAUGAAGAAAAAAUUUGUUUAAAAAAUUCAUAUAUGAUGGAUUACUUUUUACAUGGUAACCAUUUAAUCUUAAGAGAGAAAAAUAAAUUAGGACAGUAUACUUGGUUUGUUUUAAGUAAGUUUUUAAAUACAAUAAAAAAUAUACAAUAUUAUUUUAAUCAAAUAAAAUAUGAUAUAAACUUAUUACAAUCGGAUAAAUUCUAUGCCAGUAUAGAUGGGUUGAAAAACAUUUUGCAAAAAUACUUUGAAACGAUACAAUAAUAAGAAAAAAAAAACAUGAGGAAUCAUAGCAUAAGAAAGCAUAACAAUAGCAGAAUUAAAAAAAAAAAAAAAAAAAUAGGUAGUAUUGCAAAUAUCAAUAAUAAUGAGAAAACAUAAAAUAUGAACAUUUGAUUACUUUUCAUAUCAUAUAAAUGUUUAUUUUUUUUAACUUAUUUUUGUAAUUCCAUAUAUUAUACAUUUUAUGUGAUAGGCUAAAUAUAAUAACAUAGUUUUUUUUCCUAAAUUUUCAUUAAAUGGUAGUACUGAGUGUACAUA